CGUGGCCGCUGAGCCUGCGCGUCCGGAGGCUGUGCUCCGCAACGGGAGGGGCCACAACAGUGAGACGCCCGCGUACCGCAAAAAAAAACAAAAACAGAUUUGAGCAGGGCCUUAUAGAGAUUGAAAAGCAAAGAAACGUUCCCCCUUUUUUUCUGCUAUUUUAUCUUAAAGGCUCACAGUUGCAUUGCCACUGCUGGUUGCUGUGUAAAAUUAGUGUUUCUCAGAAGUUUACCCACUUCCGUAUUUUUAAAAUACCUAGUAUGUACCAGACGUUGCCACAGGUCCUAAGGAAGAUGGGCCACACCUAGGUAAGAGGAAACCUAAAAGUGGUUAAAUUAUAAAGGAAAUCAGGAAGUAUCUCGCCCACAGUUCAGGCUGAUGGUACAUGUUUAACAGCUGGUAGGGGGAGGAGUGCAUAUGUAGACACAUUUAUUAUGAAUUUUAACUAGUAAAAAGCAUGUGCAGUACACAGCCUACCAAAAAUGGUAAAACACAGUACUCUUUCUUGUAAAUUCCCUGGAGCCAUUUGAUCCUCAGAUGUUGCCAUUGCUUAUUUUUGCUGAACUCUUGUAUCCAUGGCCAACCUAUGGUUAAAAUUCAAUCAUAAUCUAUCAAAUUGAGUUGUCUCCCAACCCACUGUUUUUCCAAUAAAUUUAUUGUCAUUAAGUGUAAUAUGUGAUACAAACUUUGGUUGGUUUAAUCACAUCGAUGAGUGAGACAGAAAUGAACCAAAAAGAUAUAGAUCUUUAUUCAUCAGCGAUGUGAGCAACUUCUUUGCUGUAUUGGAUCAUUUUUCCAGUACUGGACGAAUGUUUUGUGCCAGUCAUAAUAUAAUGGCUAAAAACUGGACACAAUUUUAAGUUUAGCUGCACUGUUAAUUUUCUCCAUUAUUAGGCUAGGGGUUGGGAAAUGUUUUCUACAAAGGGCCAGAUACAUAUUUGCCGGACACCAGUGGUCUCUGGCACAUAGUCUUUGUUUUAUAUUUUAUCAACCUUUAAAAAUGUAAAAGCCAUUCUUCGCUUGAGCAAGGGCCUCACUUGGCCUUCAGUCUCUGAAUUGUAGCAUUUUCAGAGUUCCCCAGUGUAACUAUUUCUCUAAUGGCCAACUUGGGAGCAUCUGAACCAACUUGAAAUACCUUGAAUGCAGAGUUAGGGAAAGUAUUUCCACCAUACAGGUACAAGAGAUGUGAGUAACCUCAAAAGCACGGGUUUUAGUAAAGUAAUCAUGAAGUGGUGAGUUUUGAGACCUUGUUUUUGAUAGAACUGAUUUCACUCUAAGUUUAUAUAAUUCAGUGCUUUAUAACAUCUGUGUUUAACAGCUAGCUCAUGGAAUUCCUGAAUUUUUAACGAUCAGCUCUAACUGGCUCCAACUCCACACUGGUCUAACCUCUAAGUGGACCUGGGGGUGGGUAAGCCAGGCUUCUGGGAGGGUAGGCGAUGUUCUGUUUCUGGGUUAAACUUAGACACACGGGAAGGUGAAACACCCCUGCGCCCCCCAUGAGUCAAUGCCCUGUAUCAUCACCUCCCCAUGAGUGUAGGCGGGGCCUGCGAUGUGCUUCUAAUCAGUAGAAUUUGGUGAAAGGACUGUGAUGUCAUCCCUUCCCUGUGGGUCGCAUCGUAUGUAAAGGGAGUUGGAUGUCACGCCCAUCACUCCCAGGACCCCAUGACAACUGGAGACAGACUCUCCCGCUGGCCUCUCGGGAGCAAACAACCAUGUUGUGAACGGCCCCAGAGAAGGACGCUUGGCAGGGAACCAUGGAGCUUCUGGGACCUGAGGGCAACCAGCAGCCCAGAAGAAGCUGGGCCAGCACCUCAAUCGUGGCCACGUGGGACCCUGAGCAGAAGACCAGCUGAGCAGUAUACCGGGACUGCUGCCCCACAGACACCAAGGGGCGGUGACAGAGGAUGAGCAGUGCAGAGCCUGGGACGCUGCAGCCAUCAGGCUUCCGGCGUCAUCAUCAACCGAGGAAGGUGGAGCCCUGGGUCAAACCACACCGAAAUUCCAUCUGUACCGAGAUCCCAGCAACACAGCACUGGGGCUUGGAUGAUGGACGCUCAGCUCAGAUGAACUUAGACUCCAUGAGAUGCAACCAGCAAAAGUGGGAAACAGACUCUGGGAAACUUUAAUGAACAGGUGACCCCGUUUUUAAAAAUAAAUCGAAAGGGGGAAAAAAGGAGGCGGAGGGAAAACAUGGACUAAAAGAGAUUAAGAGAAUCCUCACUCGUUGUUGGGAACAUAAAAUGCUGCAGUCACUUGGGAAAACGGUCUGGUAAUUUCUUUAAAAGUUAAGUAUACAUUUGGCGUGUAUCCCAGCAAUUCCACCCCUGUAAAUCUACUGGAGUGAAAUGAAAACACAUGUCAACAAGUAGUGCAUAAAAGUUUAUAGCAGAAGUUUUACUAAAACCCAAACUGGAAACAACACGUGUGUCUCUCAACUUGUGGACUGAUUUCUUUUUUUAAACGGUGGUAUAUUCAUACAGCAAAGCAUUGUCAGCAAUAACAGGGAUGAACUGCUGAUCCGUGCAACAUGGAUGAACCCCAAAACCUUGCGCUUUGCGUAAGAAACCAGACACAAAAGGCCACAUAGCGUGUGAUUCUGUGUAUGGGAAAUAGGUAGAAAAGGAAAAACCCUAGAGAAAAAAGCAUAUCUGUGUUUGCCUGACGCUGAAGGUCAGAGUGAGAAUCGACCGCAAAUGGGCGUGAGGGAACUUUUUGGGUGACAGAAAUAUUCUGAAACUGGAUUGGGGUGGUUAUUGAACAACUGUGCAAUUCUCCAAAAGUUUGUCCAACUGUACGUUACAGUGUGUGAAUUUUGUGGUAUGUAAAUUAUACCUCAAUUGAGGUAAAUUAUCCCUCAAUAAGGUUAUGAGAAGAUGAAAAUCUAAACACUGGCCAAAAAUUGUAUACUGUUAAGGCGGGAUUAGGAUUCUUUCACGGAUUAUCGUGGUGAUUUUUUUUAAAACCAACUCUUAUCUUUUAGGGAUACGCACUGAAUUAUAGGAAAUGAUAUAAUGCCUGAGACUGGCUUCAAAAUAAUACGAGAGGAUUUGGGCGGCUUAUAGAUGAAACAAGGCUGUGUAUACGGAUCCCCGCUGGAGCUGGGUUUUGGGUACAUGGAGUCUUUGAAAUCGGUGUGUCGUGUGUUUUACGCGGACAGCACAUCUCACUUUGGCUGGGUCCCACUUCCAGCGCUCAAGAGCUAUAAAUGAUAAAGCGGCUAUAAAUUAUCCCUCUGGGGUUCUGCAUGUAUUCUGGGUCGUGAAGCCUUAGAAGGGCCGUCGCUUCUGCCCAGCUGCAUCCUCAGGGUUGUAGCAAAGGCCCCCGCCGAGGGCACAACCCCAGUGGCUCAUCAGUCAGGGGCUGGUUUUGUCUGCAGUGGGGACCCUCCACUGGGAUGACACCACUGACUGGGCACUCGGAGGGCCUGACUUCAAGCCGCUGAUUUAAAAACCUGGCGUGACCUGUUCACCGGGUACAAAGGUGACUUCUGCAGCCCAUCGGAUGUCUCUCCAGAAGAGCGGGCCCCUGAGCGCUUAGAGGAUUGAGCCUGUUUGUGGUGGAAAUAACAGCACAAAAACCUUUGCGGAGAAGCAGAAACAGAGCUGCUGAAUGACUGCUUGGAAUGACCUCUGUUUCCAUUCCUGCACGCACGGAGCUUACAUUGGUCCAUAACACACCGCUCCCAGCCACGCAAGAAAAAAGCUAGACGAGCUGAAGAAUCAAAACUCGUCUUAGAUCUGCCAGAGCACCAGCUCCAGGGGCUUCCAUCAGGGUAAGAGCCUGCGUGUCGUGGGCUCCCAGCAGUCGACUGGGUCCUCCCUCGCAAACUUUUUCUUUUUCCUUUUUUGAGCGGAUGCAUCGUGAAGCAGCUUUAGCAGCCCGUCUAGACGCAAGAGAGUGUGAGAAGAAUUCACUUUCUCCGAUUCUGGUUCUAUAAUGGCUUUUUAUUGCCCUCUUUCUGGACCUCUCCGUUGAAGCUGUCAGUGUAUCGAAGGCUUGCUGUUUAAGAGGAAAGGAACUUGCAAGGUUCAGUGGGUGUCUCGGAUUGCAGGGUCAUCGUGAGUCAGCCCUGGGAGCUCCUACCAUUGUCACGUACAGGUUCUUGCUGGUCGGGAAAAGAACUGUCCAGGUCUGUCAGUCUGCGCAGAAGUCUUCACGUUUAAUAUCGUCAAGCCUGAGGGCCGUGGAAGCACAUAUAUACCUCUUGUUCUCAAACAGACCUGUCAUUAACAAGAGAGAAGUCACCCCAGAUGAGCCAGAGGAAAGAACUUUGGAGGUUUUAUGUAAAUCUCUCUCUUUAAAGAAAAAAUUGUGGUAAAAGACACGUAACCCAAAAUUUACAAUCUUAACUAUUUUAAGUGUACAGUUCGGUAGCGUCAAGUACAUUCACAUUAUCGUGCAGCCAUCGUCAUCUCCAAAACUUUUUCAUCUUGCGAAACGGAAGCUCUGUCCCCAUUAAACACUCACUCCCCAUUCAUUCCCUGUCCCUCUGGGAAGUAACCACCCUUCUACUUUUUGUCUCUAUGAACUUGACUCCCCUAGGGACCCCACAUAAGCGGAAUCAUACAGGACCUCUCUUUUCGUGACCAGUUGAUUUCUCUUAGCCCCAUGUCUCCAGGAUUCAUCCACGUUGUAGCAGGUGUCAGGAUUUCCUUUGUUUUUAAGGCUGAAUAAUGUCCCAUCAGACAUGUCGGUGGACCCUUGGCUUGUUUCCAUCUUUUGCAUAUUGUGAAUAACGCUGCAUUGAACGUGAGUGUACAGAUGUCAUUUCAAGACCCUGCUUUCGGGACUUCUCUGGUGGUGCAGUGGUUAGGAAUCCGCCUGCCAGUGCGGGGGAUACGGGUUCGAGCCCUGGUCUGGGA